rnacentral:rRNA from 1 species
UACGAAGGGGGCUAGCGUUGCUCGGAAUUACUGGGCGUAAAGCGCACGUAGGCGGCUUUCUAAGUCGGGGGUGAAAUCCUGGAGCUCAACUCCAGAACUGCCUUCGAUACUGGAAAGCUCGAGUCCGGGAGAGGUGAGUGGAACUGCGAGUGUAGAGGUGAAAUUCGUAGAUAUUCGCAAGAACACCAGUGGCGAAGGCGGCUCACUGGCCCGUACUGACGCUGAGGUGCGAAAGCGUGGGAGC